rnacentral:lncRNA from 1 species
GAAUGCCUUUCCCUAUUUUCAGCCAUGACUUCUUCCUUUUUCGGCCAUUGACACUAUCGCUCGUGGUGCUGCACCUUGGAUCAUGACCCUUAGCCUUCCCAUAACCCUCCACAGUGACAUCAUGACCGCUGGCAUAUGGCCAAUAACCAAAAAUGAAGAGGAAACCCAAGUCUGUCCUCUAGUCAUACUGACCGAUCCUCGUUGCCGGCUGUCUCUUACCCCACCGCUGU